UGCUUGAGAUUCUCUCUUUCUCUCCCUCUUCCCAUCUCCCCUGCUCAUGCUCUUUCUCCAUCUCUAAAGUAAAAAAAAAUUUUUUUAGAGGUACUAGACUCCCAAUCAGAUAGAUUGCUGGCCACAGACAGAGAGUCCCUUUCUUAGCAGAAUUAUGUCCCUUCCCAUCUCUGUGAUUGUCUCUAGACUGAGUUCACCUCUCUGGCAACGUUGGGUGAAAGAAAAAGAAAGGCAGUUGAUACCCACCAAAAUUUGGAAAUUUCCCCAAUGUGUCAUCUCCAUUGGCAGGCUGUUUGUCUUCCCCCGGUGAUGGCCUACCCAAGAGCUUUGUGUGGAAUAUCCAGAAUCGUCAGAUGACCAGCCCGUGGUACCAUGUUGUACGUAAGAUGUGAGUGAUUGCUCUGCACAUCUUAUUCAACACUGUCACAGCGCAGAAAAUGGCCCAUAGCAAUUGUAAUAUGUUCUCAGCUGUGAGAUGCAAAUCAAUUUCAGAGAUGUUAAAAUGGGGAAAAUAUGUGCAUUUCAGAUGUGCUGCAAUGUCACGUCUGCAUCCUUGCCAUCCGCUGUUGUCCCAAUCCCACUUGGACAGUGUUUCGUUUUACGUUUUGCUUGAGGCGCCCCACCUGUGGGUACAACGUUCUGUUUAAGUUAGGAUUAAUUGCGGUUUCAUAAUCUUCAGGGUCCUUUUCCCACUUGUGGCCCAAGGCGGCUGCCCCCGCACCAGGAGCGGUGCCCACUUUUCCACGAGCCGGAAGGAGGGAAGGGAAUAAAAUGGACACGGUCUUUCCCAAAUGUCCCGGAAGUUGCUCAGACCAUUUUUGCUUCUGUCGCAUCGUGGAGAACUGAGUUACAUACUCAAACCAGCGGAGAGAAUGUGGUUGCUAGCCUCGGUAGCCAAGUACCCAGCUAAUAAUCAGGUGUUGAGUUACUGUAGACGGAAAGGAUGAAUAUCAGGGGCAACUAGCAGUUUCUAAGGCUUGUAAGAUAGUAAGAUGGUUCCUUUUUUUUUUUUUUUAAUUUGUUUUAACGGAGGAUGAAAGCAGCCUGAGCAUGUAUAUAAUUUCAUUAAGUGCCUCCUAAGCAUCUCUGGACAAGAGGAACCCCUGGCACCUGACUCCGCGUGAGCCUCUUGCACCCGCCGCUCUGAGCUUGGAGCACCUUUGCGGAGCAUCAUUAAGCUCUCGCCGUGGUGACUCCUUGACUCAGAUCCGGGCCCACCACCAGCGUGGACCCCCGAGAGCGAACAGGGGCCGUGUCUGCUCAGCUCGCCGCUGGGGGGUCCGGCACCCGAUACAGAACGUGGCGUAUAGUGAGUGCUCGGUAAAUUUCCAAAGAGUAAGUGAACGAAGGAGCCGUUGCCCUUCCGCUCCGGGUUUCCCAGGGAGAGAACGGCGAACACCUCUCUGCCCCCUCCCGCCCAGCUCAUCCCUCCCGCCCACGGGCAGCCGUUCGACAAGACAGUUAAUAGGACAGGUGGGUGGCUUCUCGCGUCAGGCUGCAGCUUCCAGGCCUACCUCCCGGGGCCUGCGUGGACACGAGGAACUUUGAAUUAACGCUGGAGGAGAGCCUCGAGAGCCGUUGCAGACAGCACCGCGUAGAGUGCACGGAGCCGUUGGUGGUGCCGGGCUGUGAGGCCAUCAGCACAGGGGACGGGGCCCACUUGGAGAGACCUGGCCAAUUACCGGGUGUGCAGGUGGCGGGAAGGAGCAGCAAGCCGGGCUGAGAAAUCUUUUCUUGCCAAGUCAUUAAAGAUUGGGCUGGAGCCUCAGGAAACCCGCAAACUUGGGCCACUUAGCAGGAGAGAAGAAGGCCCACCGGCAUAUCCACACCUGCAGGGUUUUGGGUGACAGGACACGGUGGACUUAUUUAUGAGCCUUAGGCUUUGUCUCCUCCAAGCACCUCAAGGUUUCAUGUGGUCGGCUCUCAGCACUCCGAGAGAGAAAGCUUCAGCUACUUGCGACUGAAAGUGAAAAAAGAAAAUCCCAAAUCAACCUAACCGAUUCGUUCCCGAGUGAAGGAAAAUGGCAGAGGAAGGACACAGAGCCGCUAAUGGCCAUUCUUUGACAGCCCACCCAGACUGUCCUCGACGUAUUUAAAAUAAGCACUUUCUCGACUCCUCACUUUCUAACCAUGACAUCACUGCUGAGGGAAAGGUGGCGAGAGAAGACCAGGCGAACACAUCAGGAGCCAUGAAUCAGAGCAAGGUCGGGAAGACUAACAUUGUCCAGAAGGGAAGGCCCCACACAGAACCAGACCAGGCCGCCGGGGCCCGGGCCACUGGGGAGGCUUCCUGGCUGUUGAGUUCCCUCUUCUGCGUGUCCCUUCUCCCCACCGGGGUGGCAGGGCUCUCUCCAGGCCUUAGCCCUCAGGUUUGGCUCUUUGAGGUUUUGAUUGAUCUCAGAUUUAAUUUUCUCUUCUAGAAUUUCCUGAUAAAUCUCCAAGCAGAAAGCAAUAUCAUUUUUCCUUUCUCCUCGGUGAAAAGAGGGCAAGACCUUACGAUAAGUUUUCUUUGUGAAAGAGGAUGAAUUGAGAUGUUUGCAGGGUAGGAAGGGAUAAAAAAAGGAGCUUGGUAGGGCCUGACGAGUGAAUCCCAAACUAGAGCGAGGGGCUGCUCCGGUCAGGCCAACCUCCCUCC